GACGAACGCUGGCGGCGUGCUUAACACAUGCAAGUCGAACGGAAAGGCCCCAGCUUGCUGGAGUACUCGAGUGGCGAACGGGUGAGUAACACGUGGGUGAUCUGCCCUGCACUUCGGGAUAAGCUUGGGAAACUGGGUCUAAUACCGGAUAGGACCGCACUCUGGUGUGUGUGGUGGAAAGGUUUUUCUGGUGUGGGAUGAGCUCGCGGCCUAUCAGUUUGUUGGUGGGGUAAUGGCCUACCAAGACGGCGACGGGUAGCCGGCCUGAGAGGGUGGACGGUCACAUUGGGACUGGGAUACAGCCCAGACUCCUACGGGAGGGAGCAGUGGGGGAGAUUGCAAAAUGGGGGAGACCCUGAUGCAGCGACGCCGCGUGGGGGAUGAAGGCCUUCGGGUUGUAAACUCCUUUCGCUAGGGACGAAGCUUUUUGUGACGGUACCUGGAGAAGAAGCACCGGCUAACUACGUG
rnacentral:rRNA from 1 species